AGCGUACACGGUGGAUGCCCUGGCAGUCAGAGGCGAUGAAGGACGUGCUAAUCUGCGAUAAGCGUCGGUGAGGUGAUAUGAACCGUUAUAACCGGCGAUUUCCGAAUGGGGAAACCCAGUGUGUUUCGACACACUAUCAUUAACUGAAUCCAUAGGUUAAUGAGGCGAACCGGGGGAACUGAAACAUCUAAGUACCCCGAGGAAAAGAAAUCAACCGAGAUUCCCCCAGUAGCGGCGAGCGAACGGGGAGGAGCCCAGAGCCUGAAUCAGUGUGUGUGUUAGUGGAAGCGUCUGGAAAGGCGUGCGAUACAGGGUGACAGCCCCGUACACAAAAAUGCACAUAUUGUGAGCUCGAUGAGUAGGGCGGGACACGUGGUAUCCUGUCUGAAUAUGGGGGGACCAUCCUCCAAGGCUAAAUACUCCUGACUGACCGAUAGUGAACCAGUACCGUGAGGGAAAGGCGAAAAGAACCCCGGCGAGGGGAGUGAAAAAGAACCUGAAACCGUGUACGUACAAGCAGUGGGAGCCUCUUAAUGGGGUGACUGCGUACCUUUUGUAUAAUGGGUCAGCGACUUAUAUUCUGUAGCAAGGUUAACCGAAUAGGGGAGCCGAAGGGAAACCGAGUCUUAACUGGGCGUUAAGUUGCAGGGUAUAGACCCGAAACCCGGUGAUCUAGCCAUGGGCAGGUUGAAGGUUGGGUAACACUAACUGGAGGACCGAACCGACUAAUGUUGAAAAAUUAGCGGAUGACUUGUGGCUGGGGGUGAAAGGCCAAUCAAACCGGGAGAUAGCUGGUUCUCCCCGAAAGCUAUUUAGGUAGCGCCUCGUGAAUUCAUCUCCGGGGGUAGAGCACUGUUUCGGCAAGGGGGUCAUCCCGACUUACCAACCCGAUGCAAACUGCGAAUACCGGAGAAUGUUAUCACGGGAGACACACGGCGGGUGCUAACGUCCGUCGUGAAGAGGGAAACAACCCAGACCGCCAGCUAAGGUCCCAAAGUCAUGGUUAAGUGGGAAACGAUGUGGGAAGGCCCAGACAGCCAGGAUGUUGGCUUAGAAGCAGCCAUCAUUUAAAGAAAGCGUAAUAGCUCACUGGUCGAGUCGGCCUGCGCGGAAGAUGUAACGGGGCUAAACCAUGCAACGGGGCUAAACCAUGCACCGAAGCUGCGGCAGCGACACUAUGUGUUGUUGGGUAGGGGAGCGUUCUGUAAGCCUGUGAAGGUGGCCUGUGAGGGUUGCUGGAGGUAUCAGAAGUGCGAAUGCUGACAUAAGUAACGAUAAAGCGGGUGAAAAGCCCGCUCGCCGGAAGACCAAGGGUUCCUGUCCAACGUUAAUCGGGGCAGGGUGAGUCGACCCCUAAGGCGAGGCCGAAAGGCGUAGUCGAUGGGAAACAGGUUAAUAUUCCUGUACUUGGUGUUACUGCGAAGGGGGGACGGAGAAGGCUAUGUUGGCCGGGCGACGGUUGUCCCGGUUUAAGCGUGUAGGCUGGUUUUCCAGGCAAAUCCGGAAAACCAAGGCUGAGGCGUGAUGACGAGGCACUACGGUGCUGAAGCGACAAAUGCCCUGCUUCCAGGAAAAGCCUCUAAGCAUCAGGUAACAUCAAAUCGUACCCCAAACCGACACAGGUGGUCAGGUAGAGAAUACCAAGGCGCUUGAGAGAACUCGGGUGAAGGAACUAGGCAAAAUGGUGCCGUAACUUCGGGAGAAGGCACGCUGAUAUGUAGGUGAAGCGACUUGCUCGUGGAGCUGAAAUCAGUCGAAGAUACCAGCUGGCUGCAACUGUUUAUUAAAAACACAGCACUGUGCAAACACGAAAGUGGACGUAUACGGUGUGACGCCUGCCCGGUGCCGGAAGGUUAAUUGAUGGGGUUAGCGGCAACGCGAAGCUCUUGAUCGAAGCCCCGGUAAACGGCGGCCGUAACUAUAACGGUCCUAAGGUAGCGAAAUUCCUUGUCGGGUAAGUUCCGACCUGCACGAAUGGCGUAAUGAUGGCCAGGCUGUCUCCACCCGAGACUCAGUGAAAUUGAACUCGCUGUGAAGAUGCAGUGUACCCGCGGCAAGACGGAAAGACCCCGUGAACCUUUACUAUAGCUUGACACUGAACAUUGAGCCUUGAUGUGUAGGAUAGGUGGGAGGCUUUGAAGUGUGGACGCCAGUCUGCAUGGAGCCGACCUUGAAAUACCACCCUUUAAUGUUUGAUGUUCUAACGUUGGCCCGUAAUCCGGGUUGCGGACAGUGUCUGGUGGGUAGUUUGACUGGGGCGGUCUCCUCCUAAAGAGUAACGGAGGAGCACGAAGGUUGGCUAAUCCUGGUCGGACAUCAGGAGGUUAGUGCAAUGGCAUAAGCCAGCUUGACUGCGAGCGUGACGGCGCGAGCAGGUGCGAAAGCAGGUCAUAGUGAUCCGGUGGUUCUGAAUGGAAGGGCCAUCGCUCAACGGAUAAAAGGUACUCCGGGGAUAACAGGCUGAUACCGCCCAAGAGUUCAUAUCGACGGCGGUGUUUGGCACCUCGAUGUCGGCUCAUCACAUCCUGGGGCUGAAGUAGGUCCCAAGGGUAUGGCUGUUCGCCAUUUAAAGUGGUACGCGAGCUGGGUUUAGAACGUCGUGAGACAGUUCGGUCCCUAUCUGCCGUGGGCGCUGGAGAACUGAGGGGGGCUGCUCCUAGUACGAGAGGACCGGAGUGGACGCAUCACUGGUGUUCGGGUUGUCAUGCCAAUGGCACUGCCCGGUAGCUAAAUGCGGAAGAGAUAAGUGCUGAAAGCAUCUAAGCACGAAACUUGCCCCGAGAUGAGUUCUCCCUGACUCCUUGA
rnacentral:rRNA from 1 species